UACAGAGGGCGCAAGCGUUAAUCGGAAUUACUGGGCGUAAAGCGUGCGUAGACGGUCAUGUAAGUCGGGUGUGAAAGCCCCGGGCUCAACCUGGGAAUUGCAUUCGAGACUGCAUGGCUAGGAUGCGGAAGAGGGAAGCGGAAUUUCCGGUGUAGCGGUGAAAUGCGUAGAUAUCGGAAGGAACACCAGUGGCGAAGGCGACACACUGGCUCACUACUGACGCUGAGGCGCGAAAGCGUGGGGAGCAAACAGG
rnacentral:rRNA from 1 species